rnacentral:snRNA from 1 species
AUCUUUGCGCUUGGGGCAAUGACGCAGUUAGUGAGGUGAAACCGAGACGCGUCAAUUGCUGGUUGAAAACUAUUUCCAUUCCCAUUUCCAUUUUCUAAUAGCACCUAAUCUGUCGAAUAUUUGACGGUCCCGCGGUU